AUGUGCUCGCUUUUUUUUCAGGUCACACCCUCUACCCAUUGGGCAUUUGAGCACAGAGUUACAGUGCACAUUCUCUUGGCAAGCCUCCAAUUGCGCUUUCUGGAACUUCUCUUUCCAACCAUUCAUACAGGCUUUUCCAGAUCACAGAUGAAAACCUCUUACUUCCUUUGUCACUCCCAUAGACUAAAGCUCCUUCUUUGUGAAGAUGACUCAAGGAGGGAGAGAAGAGGAGAAGCCACAGCCCAUCAACGUCUCUGGGCAUCACACCCCACUUGGCUGGGCGUUUCUGGUAGGCACAACCCUCUGGUAGCGGAAAGAGAUCGCUAGGCUAGGCUCGUACUCAGAAGUGAAGAGUGCAAAAUAACUAGAAAGAAGGUGAGUGAGUGCCACGGCUGGCUGUGAAUUCCAGUUUGUUGACUCCCUGAUCCUCAUCCCUCAGGAACAUCCCCUUCUCCUAAGGGGCAGGUGGUUAAGAUUGGAAAAUUUUAAUAAAUUAACAUUUUAACCCUCGCGUGGCCA
rnacentral:lncRNA from 1 species